rnacentral:rRNA from 1 species
CUACGGGAUGCAGCAGUGGGGAAUAUUGCACAAUGGAGGAAACUCUGAUGCAGCAACGCCGCGUGGAGGAUGACACUUUUCGGAGCGUAAACUCCUUUUAUAGAGGAAGAAGAUGACGGUACUAUAUGAAUAAGCGCCGGCUAACUCCGUGCCAGCAGCCGCGGUAAUACGGAGGGCGCAAGCGUUACGCGGAAUCACUGGGCGUAAAGAGCGUGUAGGCGGAUUAAAAAGUCAGAAGUGAAAUCCUAUAGCUUAACUAUAGAACUGCUUCUGAAACUCUUAAUCUAGAAUAUGGGAGAGGUAGAUGGAAUUUCUGGUGUAGGGGUAAAAUCCGUAGAGAUCAGAAGGAAUACCGAUUGCGAAGGCGAUCUACUAGAACAUUAUUGACGCUGAGACGCGAAAGCGUGGGGAGCAAACAGGAUUAGAUACCCCGGUAGUC